CAGCGCCACAAGUGGCAAUCAUUUUUAUUUGGCCUAAAGCGUCCGUAGCUGGUUGAGUAAAUCUCUUGUGAAAUUGUUCAGCUUAACUGAGCAGCGUGCAGGAGAGACUGCUUAGCUAGAGACCGGGAGGAGUCAGAGGUAUGCUGGGGGGAGCGGUAAAAUGCUAUAAUCCUCGGUAGACCACCUGUGGCGAAGGCGUCUGACUAGAACGGGUCUGACAGUAAGGGACGAAAGCCAGGGGAGCAAACCGGAUUAGAUACCCGAGUAGUCC
rnacentral:rRNA from 1 species